CCCUACUGCUAUCGGGGUGGGACUAAGACAUGCAAGUCGUGCGUCUCUAAGCCAUGGUAGAGACGCGGCGUACGGCUCAGUAACACGUGGCUAACCUACCCUUAGGACAGGGACAACCCCGGGAAACUGGGGCUAAUAUCUGAUAGGUGAGGAGGCCUGGAAUGGUUCUUCGCCGAAAAGGCGUUGAAACCAUGCUUUUCAACGUCGCCUAAGGAUGGGGCCGCGCCCGAUCAGGUUGUUGGUGGGGUAACGGCUCACCAAGCCUAUAACCGGUACGGGCCGUGAGAGCGGGAGCCCGGAGAUGGGCACUGAGACGAGGGCCCAGGCCCUACGGGGCGCAGCAGUCGCGAAAACUCCGCAAUGCACGAAAGUGUGACGGGGCUACCCCGAGUGCCGUCCGCUGAGGAUGGCUUUUCCCCGGUGUAAUGAGCCGGGGGAAUAAGGAGAGGGCAAGUCUGGUGUCAGCCGCCGCGGUAAUACCAGCUCUCCGAGUGGUAGGGACGAUUAUUGGGCUUAAAGCGUCCGUAGCCGGCUUAGCAAGUCUUCCGUUAAAUUCAGCGACCUAAUCGUUGAGCCGCGGGAGAUACUACUAGGCUAGGAGGCGGGAGAGGCCGACGGUAUUCCCGGGGUAGGGGUGAAAUCCUAUAAUCCCGGGAGGACCACCAGUGGCGAAGGCUGUCGGCUAGAACGCGCUCGACGGUGAGGGACGAAAGCUGGGGGAGCGAACCGGAUUAGAUACCCGGGUAGUCCCAGCUGUAAACGAUGCGGGCUAGGUGUUGAGGUGGCUACGAGCCACUUCAGUGCCGCAGGGAAGCCAUUAAGCCCGCCGCCCGGGGAGUACGGCCGCAAGGCUGAAACUUAAAGGAAUUGGCGGGGGAGCACCACAAGGCGUGAAGCUUGCGGUUC
rnacentral:rRNA from 1 species